CGUGUAGGCGGCAACGCAAGUCGGAUGUGAAAGCCCAUGGCUCAACCAUGGAAGUGCACCCGAAACUGCGUUGCUAGAGUCUCGGAGAGGAAGGUGGAAUGCUUGGUGUAGAGGUGAAAUUCGUAGAUAUCAAGCGGAACACCGGUGGCGAAGGCGGCCUUCUGGACGAGUACUGACGCUGAGACGCGAAAGCGUGGGUAGCAAACAGGAUUAGAUACCCUGGUAGUCCACGCCGUAAACGAUGAGUGCUAGGUGUCAGAGGCUUUGACCCUUCUGGUGCCGAAGCUAACGCGUUAAGCACUCCGCCUGGGGAGUACGGCCGCAAGGCUAAA
rnacentral:rRNA from 1 species